rnacentral:lncRNA from 10 species
ACUUUACUAAUUGUUCCCCUGGAAUGCUUCUUCAUAAUCAGUGCAAAUUCUUACCUUCAUUGAUGGGGGGGGGAAGAAAUUCAUAUAAAGGAAGAGAGUCCAGAGGAGCUAUUUUUAAUUGCCUGACAUAUGUUGUGCUCUUUUAUGAUAUUUUUCAUUUUAAAACCCAUCUUAAACACCCUGGCAAACUAUCCAGUACGUGCUGUUGCAUAAAUGCUGUAGAGUCCGAUGGCUAAGUCCCUGAUCCUGGGAGUCCACCAGUGCAGGGUUCAACUUGCUGCAUCCCUUAUUAUUGAGGGACCCCAUUACUAAGUUCUCUCCAAGCCUCAAUUUCCCUAUUUGUCAAAUUCGCAUAAUAAUAAGUACCUGCCUCUGUGGUUGUUGUAAGGAUUAAAUGUAAAGCAGUUAGCACUCUGCCUGGCACAUCGUGACUGCUCAAUUCAUUUUAUCUACAAUAUUAUUGUUAUUGUUGUCAUUGUUGUUUUAUUAAUACAUGUGGCUUGACCAAGAUAAUAUGGUGGCAAACCAAUAAUUUGUGUAUAUUUGGAUACUUCAUGAAUUUCUCUGCAACCACCUUUUCCACACCUAUUGUAUAUCACGUGAACAGUUAUGAUUCUGUAUUGAUGUCAAUGGGGGGCCAUCUGGAGUGGCUGCUGCCAUUGUGCUGGCUGCAACAGGGAGGCACUGGCUGCAACAGAGAGGCACAGCUGGGCUACAUGCCCUGCCCCUUCUAAGUUGGGGUGGCAGUUCCCCAGGUGCCACUCCAGCUGCCCAAGCCAUGGCUGCAGACCCCAGCAUCCCUGUGGUCUCUGGGCCAGGAGUAGGCAGGAGCCCCACCCUCCUGGGUACAGCUAUAGCCACCCAAACCACUGCUGCAGACAGGGACCUCCUGCUCCCCAGGGUAGGCAGCAGCCCUCUCCCCACCACCGCUGCACAGCUGCAGCACCUAAACCAUGGCUGCAGAUUCAGGCAUCUCUGCACUCUUAGGGGCUUGGGAAGGCACCCCCUGCCCUUGCAGGCUCGGAAGUGCCUGCUCCCACUGCCUGGCAAACUCUUUUGUUAUUUCAUAUUUUCACCAUUUACUACUCUUUGUCUAACCUAGCAUAUAAUCGUUCAACCCUAACUGCUGUCUUUGGGUUUUCAUUUCUUUUGUAAAGGCUCCUAUGUACAUGUAAAAAUUCCUAGAUACAAUUUGUAUGCUUUUCUCCUGUUAAUCUGUCUAAUGUCAGUUUAAUUCUUAGGCCCAGCUGGAGGUCCUAAGGGGAUAGAGGAGAAAUUUUACCUCCCGUGCACCACCAUAAAUCCCACUUUUAGGUAUUGCCUUUCUCAAUCCCAUUCCUGAUUCAAACCGUAUUUUUGACACAGCAUGAAGUUGCUCCCAAGUGCUGGCUUGCCUUUCAGUGUAGAACUUUCCCUGUGUCCUGCACUUCUCAUCCCAUCAUUGUCAAAGGAUCUGUGGUCAGCCGACUCUUUUCUAUUCUUUACCACUUUGGUUUUCUAAGGACCACCUUUUUUUUCUUUCUCUCUCUCUUCAGUUUUCUUCCUUAUUGCACUCAUCUCCUCCUCCCAACCUCACAACUCUGCUCCCUCCUGCUUUUGUGCUAGAGCUGUGUGUCUUUCAAAGACAACAGUUAUUAGCAAUUGGGUGAUCUUUUUCUUUCUUUGUGAUCAGUACCAGUAUAAUGACCAACAACAUCAUCUCAUUUUGUUUCUAAUAUUUGGCUCAUGAACUAUUUUCAGCAUAAGGGCUGAUCAAUGGCUUUAAAUAAUAAUAAUUUUUUACAACCUUCAGUAUUUGGAUGUUGGAAUUUACCAAAAAUUAGUAUUAUAUGUAACCAAGAGAAACUAUUAAAUAAUAAUAAGAAAAAUUUCCAAAUUAACUGUAAUACUAUGGACCAUGCUACCUGGCUUUCAUAUUACAAAUAAUAUUUUUCUCUUUUGGGCUUCCUAAUGCCAAAUCUAAGGCUUUUCUUUCCUCAUUACUUUAUCUCUGUCUCUCACACACACAUACUCCAAUGCAGAGACCUACUUGAAGAAUGAUAGAUUGAGGAGAAAAAAUAACGACUGGAAACUAUCUAGUUAUGAAGCAAGAGAGGGACUAAGCAGGUGCAUUACUCAGUUAUGAAUUAUUUGGCAAAAUAUCUCUGAGAGAGAUCACAAUUCAUUCUAAAAUGUUUGCAUAACUGCAGGCUGCUACAUUACCUAAACUCACUAUUUGCCAUCAUCUGCUUUCCCAUGAAUUUAUUUUCUGUGCAAUUUGUUUUGACAGAGUCUUACUGUUUAGAAAUUCAUUUUCUUUAUUUUCAUGGUUCUCUGAAGACUUCCAUGAUAAUGAUUGGUUCUAUAAUUAAGAUAUUAUAUACAUAAAUGUCUAUGGAAUGGGUGUGAUGGGUUUAAAAACACUUUUUAAUAUCCAGCUUGCCUUGAAAGCAAUUCUCUAGAUGGAUUUUUAAAAAUAUUCCAAGAUAUUUAAAGUACUUUGAAAGGCCACUGGGAGGAGAGACAAAUAGAAAGAACUUAUAAGUAAUAAGUACAUGCUUAGUAAAAAUAAAACACCAGUUGGUAGAGUAAGUGCUGGAUAGAGAUUCAUCUAUUUAGCAUUGUCUCUGCUUAUGUAAAAUGAUCAUCAAUUGUAGUAUACAGUUGGUCAAGAAUCUUUACAAUGGCUUACAAUAAAUAUCUAAGCCACUUUAGAAACACAGGACUGGAGAAGAAUAUCAUAACUAAGAGAAAAGCUCUGAAGUAAGAAAUUUUUGAUCAUCUAAAUAUUAAAAUAUGACCCUACUGGUUAUGUAAUAUCAGUUUUUUACUGCACACAGCUAUAUUUAUGAGAUAAAGUCUCUAUUUAGAUAAGUUUGGCCAAAUAGAUUAGACUUCAACAAUCACAGUUUUGGGGAAACAGUAAAAUAAAUAUUUCCAAAUAACUUCUGUGUAUUUUUCACUUGUCAGAUUCUUUGUUGUAUAAUCAAUGUUUUCCAAAUCUAGCAUCAGUGUAACCUGGGGAGAUCUUAAAAAUACAGAUUCCCCAUAUGAGCCCUAACUCUACUGACUCUGAACCUUCAGGUGGGACCUGGACAUAUCUAUUUUAAUCUGUCUCCAGAGAGAAUUCUUAUGGAAUGAUCCAAAUGCCAGUCCAAAGAGUUUAGGAAUUAAUGAGUGGACCCUGAAGAACAUGUGCUCAAAUGCUAUCAAGAAAAAUCAGAUUGGCUUCUCUGUCCAUACAUGUAUCCCCACCAACAUAGGCACGUGCAUGCACACACACACACACACACACACACACACACACGCACACAUCAUGCAAAAUAAAUAAAUACAUGUGAUGGUUAUGUAUGCCUGAGAAGAGGGGAAUUGAGCUAGAAUACCCACGUUUGAUCUGCUCCAAUUACAGAAAUAGCUGCACAUAAAUAGUCUGCCCUAAAUGUGACUGACCUGCCAAGGCUCAGUUUACCUUUGCAGUUGAAGUCCUCAAAGGGCACUGUGCUUUGGCAAGUUUGCUUUGCAUUUAGAGUCCCUGGACUUUGGGCAAUAUUAGGGUCCUUCUGUUCCAGGGAUAUUUCCAGGGCGUGGCUCUUCUCACAGCAUUUCGACCUCCUUGUGUUGCUUACCUCCUAGCUCCUUUUUUUUUAGCACCAUUCCAGAAUCCUGGACUGAGAAACAUGUGCUCUACUCAGGAACACAUAUGCUCUACUCAGGCUACCCAUUUGUUCAUAGCCUCACUGGGAAGCAAUCUCUAUGAAUUCCACUUUAGCAUGAACGUGAGGAAGAGCACGAGUGUGUGUUUUCAGUCUUUUCCAAAUUACUUGGUUCCUUUUCCCGAGGAAGAUUUAAGAAACAGACAGACUAUGCAGUUCAUGACUUCAAUUUGACAUUUUGAUUUGGUGUAAACAGGAGAGAAAGGUGAACAAGAGAGUAACAAGCUGCAGUUAGCUUGGAGAUCCUCCCCUCUUUGGUUUUCACUGGUCAAGCACCUUGUCUAAUAGCUGGGGCUAUCAGCCUCUGUGUUGCCUUUCCCUUCCAAACAGAUAAUAUUCCAAACUUCACUGAGUUUUUGUCUCCAAGGCCUUUGUUCACUCUACUGAGGAAAAGGGUUAGAACAAAUAUCACUAAUAAUAAAAUUUAGUUCCAAAUCAAUUCUGCUUUUCCUUAGAUGCAAACAUUUUAGUGGCAGCUUAAUAUAGUCCAACUUAUUGAGAAAGAGAUGCAAUGAAGGACAGGCAAUGAGGCAUGUUUUCCAGGAAAAGGGCUGCUCCAGGUCACCCAGGCUGCUGUCUACAGAUCAAUGGACAGGCAGGAGGCAGGCAGUCUCUAGCCAGGGGAUCGGCCUUGUGGAGGCAAGCCCAUGAAGGCCUGCUCACAGUUGUCCUGCUGGCCAUUAGAGGGAAACAGAGGCUCAUUUGGCCCAGUUGAAAGUCAACUUGUAGAUGGAUCUCUGAAGUCUAAUCGUAUCACUUUGAAUAGAUCUGAUAUCUGCUUCCAUCUCUGAUUUCUAAUUUUAGACAUGUGGGAACAUAUUUAAUUGGCAAUAUGUCACUUUCAGGACUCUUAAGUGCAAACGUAGCUGCUUUUGCAUUCAAUAUUUAUAUGUUCUACCUGCAGACUUGCACCCUAAUUUCUAGAUGCUGGGGAAGGAACAGCCAUUAUGCUAUAAUUUAUCAGGGGACUGGAGCUAAGUCACAUGCCCUAGAUUUUUCUCAUGUCUUCUUAUAAAUGUAAACUGAGAGGGUCUCUGUUCUUCACAGUGGCUUAGCUAACAUAGAAACAAAAGGUAAGUCUGUGCUACAUGUGGAUUGCUCUAAAUCAGAAGCUGUUUCUAAAUGUUCCUAAACUUUCAUCUGAAAAAAGAAAAUAUUUAGUUGUUCAUACGAGCUGUCUGUUGCUUAUAAGUGGAAAGAAACCCACACCCCUGCUCUUCUAAAUUUACUUUUAAAAAUUUGUUCUGUCCUAUUAGUAUGUGUGCGUAGACAUGGUAUUACUGCAUUUCAAAGUGUGCGUUCUGUGUAUAAACUUGAAUUUACACCGUGGGUGUUUAUCUUUCCUGGUAAGCUGUGCAAAGAACUUCCCCAUUUCUCAAUCCACCAGUGUUUGAGUAAUUCAGCCCUCCUUUCCGUUGGGUUUGUUAACAAUCUAUAGGUCAGAUUCUAUUCACCUCUCUGACGAUCUCAUGUGAAAGCACACAUAACACUUUCUCUUCUCUGAC